rnacentral:rRNA from 1 species
GGCCAGACUCCUACGGGAGGCAGCAGUGGGGAAUAUUGCACAAUGGGGGGAACCCUGAUGCAGCGACGCCGCGUGGGUGAAGAAGCGCCUCGGCGCGUAAAGCCCUGUCAGCAGGGAAGAAAAUGACGGUACCUGAAGAAGAAGCCCCGGCUAACUACGUGCCAGCAGCCGCGGUAAUACGUAGGGGGCAAGCGUUAUCCGGAUUUACUGGGUGUAAAGGGGGCGCAGACGGCGAUGCAAGCCAGGAGUGAAAGCCCGGGGCCCAACCCCGGGACUGCUCUUGGAACUGCGUGGCUGGAGUGCAGGAGGGGCAGGCGGAAUUCCUGGUGUAGCGGUGAAAUGCGUAGAUAUCAGGAGGAACACCGGUGGCGAAGGCGGCCUGCUAGACUGCAACUGACGUUGAGGCCCGAAAGCGUGGGGAGCAAACAGGAUUAGAUACCCGAGUA